UGGCCGCGGGAUUCGAUUAAGCCAUGCAAGUCGAAUGUAGCAAUACAUGGCGUACUGCUCAGUAACACGUGGACAACCUGCCCUUAGGACGGGUAUAAGCCCGGGAAACUGGGUAUAAUCCCCGAUAGGUCUCGAAUGCUGGAAUGCAUCGAGUCCUAAAGCUCCGGCGCCUAAGGAUGGGUCUGCGGCCUAUCAGGUAGUAGUGGGUGUAGUGUACCUACUAGCCUACGACGGGUACGGGUUGUGAGAGCAAGAGCCCGGAGAUGGAUUCUGAGACACGAAUCCAGGCCCUACGGGGUGCAGCAGGCGCGAAAACUUUACAAUGCUGGCAACAGCGAUAAGGGAACCUCGAGUGCCAGGUUACAAAUCUGGCUGUCGUGAUGCCUAAAAAGCAUUAUAUAGCAAGGGCCGGGCAAGACCGGUGCCAGCCGCCGCGGUAACACCGGCGGCUCGAGUGGUAACCGUUAUUAUUGGGUCUAAAGGGUCUGUAGCCGGCCGGAUAAGUCUCUUGAGAAAUCUGGCAGCUUAACUGUCAGGCUUUCAGGAGAUACUGUCUGGCUUGAGGCCGGGAGAGGUGAGAGGUACUUCAGGGGUAGGGGUGAAAUCUUGUAAUCCUUGAAGGACCACCAGUGGCGAAGGCGUCUCACCAGAACGGACCUGACGGCAAGGGACGAAAGCUAGGGGCACGAACCGGAUUAGAUACCCGGGUAGUCCUAGCCGUAAACGAUACUCGCUAGGUGUCGGCCACGGUGCGACCGUUGUCGGUGCCGUAAGGAAGCCGUGAAGCGAGCCACCUGGGAAGUACGGCCGCAAGGCUGAAACUUAAAGGAAUUGGCGGGGGAGCAAAUCACUAUGCGGCCCCCUGCAGGUCAAC
rnacentral:rRNA from 1 species